GAUACUUCUAGUUUGAAGUUAAUUAUUUUGAUGGCAGGAUAGGGUUUAUUCAUAAGUUGUUUCAGGCUUGGACAAGGAAAGAUAUUUUUAAUAUUCUUCGAGGAUAAAAUCUGUAUGACAAAUUAUGCAGGCAACUAUUAUAUAGAAAGAAAGUAUAUUUGAGAAAUGAGAUCUAAGAGUUUCCCCUUUGUUUACUUGGAAUGUGACAUAUUAGAUCUUUUCAAAUUACAAUGCAAGAUUGGUAUUUUGAUUGGAAGUCAUUUAGUAAAUUCUGGGAUAAUUUCCAAUCUUGAAGAAUAUUUUUGGCUCAUUUUAUAUGAAUG
rnacentral:lncRNA from 1 species